UACAGAGGGGGCGAGCGUUAUUCGGAAUUAUUGGGCGUAAAGGGCGCGUAGGCGGCCUUUCAAGUGACGGGUGAAAUCCCUCGGCUUAACCGAGGAACUGCCUGUCAGACUGGAAGGCUUGAGACCGGGAGAGGUGAGUGGAAUUCCCAGUGUAGCGGUGAAAUGCGUAGAUAUUGGGAGGAACACCAGUGGCGAAGGCGGCUCACUGGACCGGUACUGACGCUGAGGCGCGAAAGCGUGGGGAGCAAACAGGG
rnacentral:rRNA from 1 species